rnacentral:rRNA from 1 species
CAGCAGCCGCGGUAAUAGUAAGGUGCGAGCGUAAUCGGAAUAUUGGGCGUAAAGCGAGUGUAGACGGUUAUUUAAGCCAGAUGUGAAAUACCCGAGCCUAACUUGGGAGGUGCAUAUGGAACUGGGUAGCUAGAGUGUGUCAGAGGGAGGUAGAACUCCACGUGUAGCAGUGAAAUGCGUAGAGAUGUGGAAGAAUACCGAUGGCGAGGGCAGCCUCCUGGGAUAACACUGACGUUGAGGCUCGAAAGCGUGGGGAGCAAACGGGAUUAGAUACCCUGGUAGUCAAGGGCG